rnacentral:rRNA from 1 species
AUUGAACGCUGGCGGCAGGCCUAACACAUGCAAGUCGAACGAGUGGCGGACGGGUGAGUAAUGUAUGGGGAACUGCCCGAUGGAGGGGGAUAACUACUGGAAACGGUGGCUAAUACCGCAUACCAUCAGAUGUGCCCAGAUGGGAUUAGCUUGUUGGUGGGGUAAAGGCUCACCAAGGCGACGAUCCCUAGCUGGUCUGAGAGGAUGACCAGCCACACUGGAACUGAGACACGGUCCAGACUCCUACGUGAGGCAGCAGUGGGGAAUAUUGCACAAUGGGCGCAAGCCUGAUGCAGCCAUGCCGCGUGUAUGAAGAAGGCCUUAGGGUUGUAAAGUACUUUCGGCGGGGAGGCGUUACCCGCAGAAGAAGCACCGGCUAACUCCGUGCCAGCCGCCGCGGUAAUAC